GAUUAUUGCAAUUAUUUGAGUGGCUCAAACUUCCUGGAUAGUGAUAUUGAAGGGAUUUCUACUGUAUGAAGUUUAGGCGAUGAAGAUGAUAAGAAGAUUCUUGACUAUACAAAGCAGUAUUUAGCUGCCAGGGUGUCAUUUUCUUGUUGUGGGGGAAAGUGUGUUACAACCAUUUUUCGUCUCUUAUUGGAUAAGCUAUGUAUUUAUGUGGGAUAAGGAUCAUGGACAGCUGAGAACUGCA